rnacentral:rRNA from 1 species
AAUCCAUAGGUUAAUGAGGCGAACCGGGGGAACUGAAACAUCUAAGUACCCCGAGGAAAAGAAAUCAACCGAGAUUCCCCCAGUAGCGGCGAGCGAACGGGGAGGAGCCCAGAGCCUGAAUCAGCAUGUGUGUUAGUGGAAGCGUCUGGAAAGGCGCGCGAUACAGGGUGACAGCCCCGUACACAAAAGCGCAUGUGCUGUGAGCUCGAUGAGUAGGGCGGGACACGUGGUAUCCUGUCUGAAUAUGGGGGGACCAUCCUCCAAGGCUAAAUACUCCUGACUGACCGAUAGUGAACCAGUACCGUGAGGGAAAGGCGAAAAGAACCCCGGCGAGGGGAGUGAAAAAGAACCUGAAACCGUGUACGUACAAGCAGUGGGAGCCCCACCACCAAAGCAUUUGCUGUACCGCGUUGACGGAGCGAAGCGACGUCAAACCGAUAAAACAGCAGUGUAAAGUGAGCCGCAGGGCGCUUUGCGCGACAGCGCAAAGGCAGGCGGUUUCGCGUAGCGAAAGCGAAUGCUUUGGGGUGGGGUGACUGCGUACCUUUUGUAUAAUGGGUCAGCGACUUAUAUUCUGUAGCAAGGUUAACCGAAUAGGGGAGCCGGAGG